rnacentral:rRNA from 1 species
AUCGAACGCUGGCGGCAUGCUUUACACAUGCAAGUCGAACGGUAACAGGGUGCUUGCACCGCUGACGAGUGGCGAACGGGUGAGUAAUGCGUCGGAACGUGCCGAGUAGUGGGGGAUAACGCAGCGAAAGUUGUGCUAAUACCGCAUACGUACUGAGGUAGAAAGUGGGGGACCUUCGGGCCUCACGCUAUUCGAGCGGCCGACGUCUGAUUAGCUAGUAGGUGAGGUAAAGGCUCACCUAGGCGACGAUCAGUAGCGGGUCUGAGAGGAUGAUCCGCCGCACUGGGACUGAGACACGGCCCAGACUCCUACGGGAGGCAGCAGUGGGGAAUUUUGGACAAUGGGCGAAAGCCUGAUCCAGCCAUGCCGCGUGUCUGAAGAAGGCCUUCGGGUUGUAAAGGACUUUUGUCAGGGAGGAAAUCCCUAGUGCUAAUAACACUGGGGGAUGACAGUACCUGAAGAAUAAGCACCGGCUAACUACGUGCCAGCCGCCGCGGUAA